rnacentral:misc_RNA from 1 species
GCCUCAAAGGUAGCUCCAAAGCCAAUGAAUGGACUAGUGAAACACUCCAGACCAAUGAUAUAGUGGAAGAGAUCAGGAUUGGGUCAGGUUCAUCUUCAAGAUCCAAGUCAUCUAAAUCGUUUAAGGCUCCGUUUGAAGACAUAAAGAAUGGGAUCCAAAAGAUUUUGCAUGGCUUGUUUAAGAAUAAAGAUUCUUCCGUUAUCGCUCAAGUCAGGCAAGACAAGGACGAGUUCACUGAGUUGCAUUCAAUACAUUUUGAGGUCUAUUGUGGAUUCGAAUUAUGCAGUUGGGUCCUUAUAUCGAUCGUUGCAAGGUUCGCAAGUCUCCUCUUGCUAUUUGCCAGGACCAACCUGAUCAGUAAUCAAAGUACCUGUCGAUGAUGUAAAAGCUCUCUUUAAUGCUAUAUUGUGGAAAUUCUGUUUUUUAUUUGCAUAAAAGUCAACGGUGAACCAUUCGAGACACUUUAUGUUAUUCAUAGGAAAAUAAGAAGUAAAUUUAAUUUUAUUGUACCUCCGUGACAAAUAAGUAUUUUUUUAUAGAAAUUCUUAAAUAG